rnacentral:rRNA from 1 species
UCCUUCCUACGGGGCGCAGCAGUAGGGAAUCUUCCACAAUGGGCGAAAGCCUGAUGGAGCAACGCCGCGUGGGUGAAGAAGGUAUUCGGAUCGUAAAUCCCUGUUGUUAGAGAAGAAAGUGCGUGAGAGUAACUGUUCACGUUUCGACGGUAUCUAACCAGAAAGCCACGGCCAACUACGUGCCAGCAGCCGCGGUAAUACGUAGGUGGCAAGCGUUGUCCGGAUUUAUUGGGCGUAAAGCGAGUGCAGGCGGUUCAAUAAGUCUGUUUUGAAAGCC